rnacentral:rRNA from 1 species
AUUGAACGCUGGCGGCAGGCCUAACACAUGAAAGUCGAACGAGUGGCGGACGGGUGAGUAAUGUCUGGGAAACUGCCUGAUGGAGGGGGAUAACUCCUGGAAACGGUAGCUAAUACCGCCUACCAUCGGAUGUGCCCAGAUGGGCUUAGCUAGUAGGUGGGUGAAAGGAUCCCCUAGGCGACGAUCCCUAGCUGGUCUGAGAGGAGGGCCAGCCACAUUGGAACCGAGACACGGUCAAGACUCCUACGGGAGGCAGCAGUGGGGAAUAUUGCACAAUGGGCUCAAGCCUGAUUCAGCCAUGCCGCGUGUAUGAAGAAGGCCUUCGGGUUGUAAAGUACUUUUAGUGGGGAGGCGUUACCCGCAGAAGAAGCACCGGCUAACUCCGUGCCAGCAGCCGCGGUAAUAC